rnacentral:rRNA from 1 species
CCUACGGGCGGCUGCAGUGGGGAAUAUUGGACAAUGGGGGGAACCCUGAUCCAGCCAUGCCGCGUGUGUGAAGAAGGCCCUCGGGUUGUAAAGCACUUUCAGUGAGGAAGAACGCCUGGUGGUUAAUACCCAUCAGGAAAGACAUCACUCACAGAAGAAGCACCGGCUAACUCCGUGCCAGCAGCCGCGGUAAUACGGAGGGUGCGAGCGUUAAUCGGAAUUACUGGGCGUAAAGCGCGCGUAGGUGGCUUGAUAAGCCGGUUGUGAAAGCCCCGGGCUCAACCUGGGAACGGCAUCCGGAACUGUCAAGCUAGGGUGCAGGAGAGGAAGGUAGAAUUCCCGGUGUAGCGGUGAAAUGCGUAGAGAUCGGGAGGAAUACCAGUGGCGAAGGCGGCCUUCUGGACUGACACUGACACUGAGGUGCGAAAGCGUGGGUAGCAAACAGGAUUAGAUACCCGUGUAGUA